UAGGGAAUCUUCGGCAAUGGGGGCAACCCUGACCGAGCAACGCCGCGUGAGUGAAGAAGGUUUUCGGAUCGUAAAGCUCUGUUGUAAGUCAAGAACGAGUGUGAGAGUGGAAAGUUCACACUGUGACGGUAGCUUACCAGAAAGGGACGGCUAACUACGUGCCAGCAGCCGCGGUAAUACGUAGGUCCCGAGCGUUGUCCGGAUUUAUUGGGCGUAAAGCGAGCGCAGGCGGUUUGAUAAGUCUGAAGUUAAAGGCUGUGGCUCAACCAUAGUUCGCUUUGGAAACUGUCAAACUUGAGUGCAGAAGGGGAGAGUGGAAUUCCAUGUGUAGCGGUGAAAUGCGUAGAUAUAUGGAGGAACACCGGUGGCGAAAGCGGCUCUCUGGUCUGUAACUGACGCUGAGGCUCGAAAGCGUGGGGAGCGAACAGGAUUAGAUACCCUGGUAGUCCACGCCGUAAACGAUGAGUGCUAGGUGUUGGAUCCUUUCCGGGAUUCAGUGCCGCAGCUAACGCAUUAAGCACUCCGCCUGGGGAGUACGACCGCGAGGUUG
rnacentral:rRNA from 1 species